UAGCGUUGUUCGGAAUUACUGGGCGUAAAGCGCGUGUAGGCGGUUGUUUAAGUCAGGUGUGAAAGCCUUGAGCUCAACUCAAGAAAUGCACUUGAUACUGGAUGACUAGAGGACCGGAGAGGAUAGUGGAAUUCCCAGUGUAGUGGUGAAAUACGUAGAGAUUGGGAAGAACACCAGUGGCGAAGGCGGCUAUCUGGACGGUUUCUGACGCUGAGACGCGAAAGCGUGGGGAGCAAACAGG
rnacentral:rRNA from 1 species